GUGUGAAUUCUGCAGCUUACCUGUAGACUGCCGUGAUACUGUCAGUCUUGAGUAUGGUCAAGGCAGGCGAAAUGUGUAAUGUAGCGGUGAAAUGCUUAGAUAUUACACAGAACACCGGUUGCGAAGGCAGCUUGCUGGGCCAUUACUGACGCUGAUGCACGAAAGCGUGGGGAUCGAACAGGAUUAGAUACCCUGGUAGUCCACGCCGUAAACGAUGAUCACUCGCUGUUGGCGAUACACAGUCAGCGGCUAAGCAAAAGCAUUAAGUGAUCCACCUGGGGAGUACGGCCGCAAGGCUGAAACUCAAAGGAAUUGACGGGGGCCCGCACAAGCGGAGGAACAUGUGGUUUAAUUCGAUGAUACGCGAGGAACCUUACCUGGGCUUAAAUGUAGAGUGCAUUGGUGAGAAAUCAUCAUUUUCUUCGGAACUCUCUGCAAGGUGCUGCAUGGUUGUCGUCAGCUCGUGCCGUGAGGUGUCGGGUUAAGUCCCAUAUCGAGCGCAACCCUUAUCGUUAGUUGCCAGCGGGUAAUGCCGGGGACUCUAGCGAAACUGCCGGUGUAAACCGAGAGGAAGGUGGGGAUGACGUCAAAUCAGCACGGCCCUUAUGUCCAGGGCUACACACGUGUUACAAUGGCCGGUACAGAGGGCAGCUACCUGGAGACAGGAUGCGAAUCUCGAAAGCCGGUCUCAGUUCGGAUCGGAGUCUGCAACUCGACUCCGUGAAGCUGGAUUCGCUAGUAAUCGCGCAUCAGCCAUGGCGCGGUGAAUACGUUCCCGGGCCUUGCACACACCGCCCGUAAGGGC
rnacentral:rRNA from 1 species